CCCAUUUAGAGUGAAAUAGAUAAUAAAGCAACGUAUGCUUUAGGGCGUGGCUACGUUGUGAUUGACAAGUCACUACCACGGCAACAACGUUGAUUACGUAAUGUAACCAUGGCAUAACCCCAGAUUCACAGAGUAUAGGCAUAGCUGCGGCUAUUUCACAGUGUGUUUUCAGUUCAUGUAAGUUAAUCGUAACAUUUUCACCGCCUAAAAGAGUCUUGUUCAGCGUUUGGCUGUGAUAAAAGACCCUCUAAGGGGUCGGAUGUUCAGUUUUGUUCCAGUCUUGAAAGAUGGACGACAGUGCAGGCUCUCCCGCGAUCCAGGUACAGCUGAUGGUGAAUUCAUCCCUGUGGAUGUUUCUACGAGUUUACGAACAAAUUUUAAUUACACAUACACAAAAUAUUUUGACAGCUACCAAAACUUUUUACACGUCCGAAUUAUAUCUGUGUGCACAAAACUUUUUCACACAUGCACAAAAUAUUUUUACACAUUCACAAACCAUUUCACAAGCUCAAAAUAUUUAUGACCAUUAUUUGAUUCCAUAUAAUGUG